rnacentral:rRNA from 1 species
UACGUAGGGCGCAAGCGUUAUCCGGAAUUAUUGGGCGUAAAGAGCUCGUAGGCGGUUUGUCGCGUCUGCCGUGAAAGUCCGGGGCUCAACUCCGGAUCUGCGGUGGGUACGGGCAGACUAGAGUGAUGUAGGGGAGACUGGAAUUCCUGGUGUAGCGGUGAAAUGCGCAGAUAUCAGGAGGAACACCGGUGGCGAAGGCGGGUCUCUGGGCAGUAACUGACGCUGAGAAGCGAAAGCGUGGGGAGCGAACAGG